CAAAAUGUGUUAACCCAAUCUAGUCGUAAGUUGAUUAGGUUGGAAAUGAGUCAUGGUAAGUCAUGUUCAAAUUCUGUACUCAUACAAUCUAUCGCUUGCAAUUAAAUAAGAAAAAAUGUCAUCCCUCACAAAUACUUACUAUUACUUCCUGUCCCUAGUAGGUUGUGUCCAUUACAACAAUAAACUUACAAUAAUUGUUGUGCGUCUAUUCUAGUAAGAUCUCCUAGGUAAUCUAGUUACAUUGUUAGGUGCCUCAUGUAUAAUUUAGACUUUUGAAUAUACCUAUGAUGCUUACUCUAAACUAUGAUUGUUGUUUAAUGUGUGUCUGUGUGCCAGUAGUAGAUUUUAUUAACAUCCAAAGUUGUGAUUUUAUUGGCUUUUGAUUUUUUUUAAUAUAGAUUGUGUGGAACAAUUAAAAACUCUAAUUGAAACACUUAUACUACAAGCCCUGGAGAGCUUGGCACAACGAUGCUAACUUGGUAGUGGCGAGCAAACUGGACUGCUCUCUCAGUCACAUCAGAGUUUGUAGGAACUUCAAUGAAAAUAGGUUUGUUGGCAUGCACGUUGCCUUGGUUAAUCAUGAAGGGUAGUUUUAGAAAUCUUGGGGUUCUCAAUGUUCUUGAAAGUACACAACAACUUCAUCUGCUGCAAUAACCUUUCCUCCCACAAUUCCAAUAAAGCUUUGACCUGAAAUUGAAGAAAAGGAAUUUCUAAAAGAACAUUGAAGGUCAAGAUUGGAUGAUGGAUAACGAUGAAGAAGCAACACAAAGGUGGUUGUUAUCUAUGUAGGUUCCAGUGAGGGAAAUCAAAGUGAAGGGUCCAUAAACAAUGAAAGAAGCUUGGUAUGAGAGAGUGGGCAAGAGUGGUGUUAGUCAAAGCUUUAUUAAGAUUAUCGGAGGGAAGGUUAUUGCAGCUGAUGAGAUUGUUGUGGUAACUACUACUUCCAAAGGGAAUCACCUUACUACCAUUUUCGGUUAUGGGAAGAAGCAAGAAGGCAUGGCAACUGAAUGAAGCCUCAAAUGGAAAAUGAAAGUGACAGGAAGAGUGAUUGGAAGCUGCAAUACACAAGACCCUUUGCUAGUAAGUUAUCACGUUUGACUCAAAGAGGAGAUGAGGCACCAACAAUAAAAGGAAAUCACCCAAGAGAGAAAGGGGGGACAAUUUUCUUCCUGCAACUAAGGGGAAAGUUUCUUCUGAUUUCUGUAAAAUGGGGAAAGGGAAUUGGGAGGAGAAAAACUUCUUGUAAUUUUCUGUGUUUAAAGAAGAACUUCGAUUGUAUUUGGACACUGAACUCUUAAUAGAAGAAAAACUUCGAAUUGGUAAUCCUUUUUAAUUA